rnacentral:SRP_RNA from 1 species
GCCAAGCGUGGUGGUGCAUGCCUGUAAUCCCAGCUACUCGGGAGGCUGAGGCAGGAGGAUUGCUUGAACCCAGGAGGCAUAGGUUGCAGUGAGCUGAGAUUGCACCACUGCACUCUAGCUUGGGCAACAGAGCAAGACUCUGUCUCAA